UCAUUGGCACCCAAAAAAGUACUCUCAAAAUAUUCAGCUGGAUCUUAGACCUUAAAAUGCAUGGCACAAACGUGGCAAAUAUGUGUUAGUACUGCUAGGUCAAUGCAAGAUGAUUUCUCCGAGUUAAUUUGCCUCCACUGAGGCACACAAGAGAUAGGUGAUUGUGAAGUGUAACGAGAGAAAGGAGAUAUAAUUGAAGAGAUCUUGACUUGACUGGUAGGUCAAGAAGUAUAAGUCAGUAAAUUUGAAGGGAAAAAAACUUGAUAGGGUCUCUCUUUGACAAAAUGAAAGAAAUCCAUGUUGUUUUCUUGUUUUGAUAAAUGAAAGCCAUUUUGUCAAGUUCGGAAAGAGAGUUCGGAUUUUUUUUUUUGAGUUAGUCAUAGAUGAUCGGAUAUUCAAGUAGAAUUGUCUAUCGAACUGUGAGCGUUAAAGCACCAUUAUACAAUAUUCUUUAUAAUCAACUUUUUUGUGAAAGUGGUGACAAUCUAGUUUGAGCGUGCAUCAGAUCAUGGAGGAAGUUGAUUAUGUAAUUAAAGUAAAUCAUACAGAUAAAAAUAUGUUUAAAGAAAUGGCUAAAAAUGUGAAACCUUAGUCUCGGAGGUAGAGGUUCAUGGAGUUUGUAUGCUUGUGAAUGUUACUUAUAUGUUCAUUCGAGAUUAUCUAAAAAUGUGGAGAACAUUCAAUGCACUUUAUAUGAAUUUUUUAGCUUCUAUCUUUGUUAAUCGACAAAGAGACAAUGUUAUUAUUAAAUUUUGUUGUAUCUCCUUAGAUCUAGUUAGUCUUAUCAUGGUUAACAUCAAAUAGUGUGAUUUAUUAUUCUUGCUAUCAUGAUCAAGUAGUGUGAUUCUUAUCCUUAGAUCCAGUUAUUCUUAUCAUGGUUAACUUCGAGUAGUGUGAUGUAUUAUUCUUGCUAUCCUUGGAUCCAAUUGUUCUUAUCAUGGUUAACAUCAAGUAAUAUGAUUUAUUAUUCUAGCUCUCAUGACAUCAAGUAAAAGAUGCUUUGGAAGUGGCAUUAAGCAGGUAUCUCUCGUUUAAAGGCAAAGAAGUGAGGUUGCUUUUAUUGAUGUCAAUUAUCGUUGAUCCUUCUGUCCUAACUUGCUGACCUGUGUUAACUUCAAAGUGCUCUAGGAGAUUAUUGAUGGGUCAAUCAUCCUACCACCACCGCCGCACUCGAGCAAGGGCCUUCUGCCUCUUAUUACUGAAGUUCUAGAAUAGACAAACCUUUCUCUCUUUCAUAUACGAGACCUUUUAGGACUCUAAUUAACAUGGCUUUAUCGACUCCUUUGACAUACUAAUACAAAACAUCUAUGCAAUCAAAUACCCACUAUAUAUCUAACUAACUUCACCAUUGCGGAGCUAAAGAUUUUACAAAUGCAGUUUGAUCAUAAUGUGGACAUUAGACUUCCUCAUCAAAUCAUAUUGUGGACAUUGGGUUUUCUUUGGCUUUUCUUAAACCUAAUUGGGUUAGUGUGUUAGCUUAUAUGGUAUAUACCGGACCAUCAGACGAUUAUUGCAGCAUUGUUAGUUAUUUUACACCAUAGAAUCGUCAGAAUCAAGGAGAAACAUUAUUACCCAAUGAAGUCAUAAACCAGUAAAUCUAGUUAGCAAUUUUGUCAAAGUCUAGAAGGCCUAUAAUAGCAGCCAGUUUGAAGAUAUCAAAUUGCUUAAUCAAUAGUCUUGAUAGUUAAGACUUCAAAUUAUAUCUAAUGGAAGUGUGACUUUUAAGGAAUUUGAUUAACCAAUUUCUUAGCAUUUGAGAUGUUUCUACUUUCAGUUGGGCUAACAAUUUCUAUUUGUAUUGAAACUUCUUAUUCAAUGAGAAAUAUUUUUUGGGACUAUUUUUACUGAACUCAUAGGAGUAGUUUUUUGCAUUACAUGAGUAUCUUAAGCAAAUAGCGAAGCAAAUGCAUAUAAAAGUAUAUAGUUAAUUGGGUUGUAUGGCUUGAAAUAGUCAUCGAAGCUGUCCAAACCCGCCAAGGUCUUGAUCUGGACCUUAAUCCAUGGUUUGAAUAGCAGAACCCUCUGGAAACUAGGGAGUUUUGAACUAUCUCACUUCCAAAUUCACAAAACUUUAUUUUUGGGCAUAUUACUGACCUUGAGUAGCUUAAAUCUCUAAGGAGCUUAGAUCCUCUCUCUGCUACUGACUUACAAAUCUAACUUUGUCAAUUCAAGGUUAAAACAGUUCAAAAGAGCAUAAAUUCACUCAGCUUUUUGUGCUACAAUGGCUGCUUGCAAUUGAUCUUCCCACUGGGUGAUCAAAGAACUUGAUAUGCUCCCUGAGGUUGUGUAAAGUAUAAAUAAGAGUUGAGGGCCUACUCAUCCUUAUUUUUUAUUCUCUCCUUUCAAACCAGCAGCUUUGCUUCUUUUUUUUUUUGUUUUAUAUUUAUUUUUGCCACAUCCUAAAGCAAUCUCUUGGGAGAUUGUAGCUCUCCACGAGCACUAUUGCAGGGGUCCAAAGCAAUCUCUUGGGAGGUUGUAGCUCUCCACGAACCCUAGUUGGAUAAAAAGUUAUCCUUGCAAUUGCCCUACAAGGUGAAAAACUUAAGCAACAAUAUUUGAGUUUAACUUGUUAUAUAUAGUCCAUAAUUAGAUACAGUAGGGAAUAAACUUUGGUAUGUAUAGAAUAGCUCGUAAGUACUAGCAACUUGGCAUUUUUGGUUAGUAGUUUAGGUUAACAAGGUGCUAAUAUUGAUGGACAAAACUGAUGUUUUACGUACAGUAUCAGAGUCACUCCCUAGUGGUACUCUCAUGUGAGCUAGCUGAUUGUUCAUCUUUACCUUUGGUUUUGUAAAAAAGGCAAGCAGUUAUGUGUGCAUUGUACCUUAAAAAACUGAUAUGGAUUUGUAUUAAUAGGAGAUUAGGAGUGAGCUUUACGAGAAUAUUGAAGCCUAAAGGGAGGUUGUCAUAGUUCAACAGUCCUAUUUUGGACAGCAUAUGGCGACACUUCGGUUUUUCAACAGUUUCUAAGCAUGGAAAUUUAAAUUAAGAGAAAGUACGAUUUAUGUGAUUUUCCUAAAGUUUAGAUAAUUUCGUUAUAAGUUUGGGAAUUUUGCCAUAGGUAAUGUAGCCCUAUGAUUGUAAGAUGAUGAAUGCAAAUUGUGCUAAUUAUGUUUAAAUUGGUCAUAGAACCCUACAUUAGGAGAAUGACAAAGGAAGGGUAAACAAACUUAAAAUUCGUUAGUGGAAUAAGAUGAACUGCAGCAGUUCACCUUCCAUA